AGGACUCCCAUGCGGAGUGGGCAUGCCGCAUCACAAGGGCCACCCAGAACUGGCUCAACUCCCAUGAAGCCAAGUUCCCGGAGGAGAUCACCCAGCUCGUCAUGCUACAACACUUUUUCAAUGGGCUCCACAACGCAUUCGUAUGUCAUCCCUAUCUACUUUCGAUGCCACUUUCUGCGCCUACCAUGGUGACAACGGGUAACAGGGAAUCAGGGUUCUAUUCCGGAGAGGGAGCCUGAGAAAUGGCUACCACAUGCAAGGAAGGCAGCAGGGGCGCAAAUGACCCACUCCCGACGCGGAAAGGUAGUGA
rnacentral:rRNA from 1 species